GAAAAAGACAAUAAUUAUUAAACUUUGGCAUAUAUCUAAUAGAGCUAUUUGGAAUCAGUUGAAGCAGUUCUAAAUUUUAUGCUUUUAUGAAUUUUUAUAUCCAAGUGCAAUUUGAUCAAUGCGCUAAAUGGAACUAAUAUUCCACAAUGUUAUAUUAAAAAUAUUGGUCUGCCUUAAAUGGAAACUUGAUAUCAAGAAUUAAAUUUGAUUUAAUUUUGAAUCUCUAUGGUAGAAAUCUGCAUCGUUCAUUCUUUAGUGCUAUAUAAAAUUUCUAGGAGAAAGUGAUUUACAUUAUGGCAUAAACAAAGGUUGAAGAAUAUGAGAUUGAAGAAUCCAACGAUUCAAGUCUUGAGCAUUCACAUGUUGAAGAGCCUUUUUCAGAGCAAGAAAUUGAUAUAACUACACAACCAAAGCUUGAGGAAGAUA
rnacentral:misc_RNA from 1 species